rfam:Glycine max cultivar Williams 82 chromosome 16, whole genome shotgun sequence.
ACGCGGCUUAGUUAGGAGGCGCACAUCAAUCGGAACCAAAUUCACGUUUGUUUCCAUUCAGAGAAAGGCCUUUUGAAGGGACUCUCUGCAUUCUCACAUCAAUUGUUCCUCAAGCAGCCUUUCACAUUU